AGGAAUAGUCAAACAAACUCUUCUCAGUGAGGAAUGAUCUUAAACUGAUGAUUUAUCCUAUCCAAGUAUGGAAAGGAGAGCUAAAGCAAAAUCUUCCACGAGGAAUAAACUCAGUGGGGUUUAGAAAGGGUAUAAUUUCUACUUAAGGUUGAUGACUCUACUGAAAAGAGGAAAUAUAUAUCACUUGCGGGAUAAACGCAAGCAAGUUAAGUAAAGUAAC
rnacentral:lncRNA from 1 species